rnacentral:rRNA from 1 species
CAUGUCUUUUUGAUUAUAAUUUAAAGUCUGACCUGCCCUAUGAAUUAAUUUUUAAAUGGCUGCGGUAUUAUGACCGUGCAAAGGUAGCAUAAUAAUUAGUUUCUUAAUUGGGAACUGGUAUGAAUGGUUGGACGAGAAAAAAACUGUCUCAAUUUAAUUUAAAUUAGAAUUUUAUCUUUAAGUUAAAAAGCUUAAAUAAUUUUAAAAGACGAGAAGACCCUAUAGAAUUUUAUAUUUAUUUUUAUUUUAUUUUUUUAGAAUUUUUAUACUUAAGAUAAAAAUAAGUAUUUGAUUGGGGGGAUUAAAAAAUUAAAUUAACUUUUUUAUUAUUUUAACAUUUAUAUAUGAAUAAUUGAUCCAUAGUAAUGUGAUUAUUAGAUUAAAUUACCUUAGGGAUAACAGCGUAAUUUUUUUUAGAGUUCUUAUCGAAAAAAAAGGUUGCGACC